CAAAUAGCUCAGUUGGGAGAGCGUAAGACUGAAGAUCUUAAUGUCCCUGGUUCGAUCCCAGGUUU
rnacentral:tRNA from 1 species